UCCCUAAUUUAGAAGUAUUAGACUCUGUGAUGGAAAUGGGGGUACACGCCGUGUACCGAGUUCUCCGUUUUUCCUCAUUGGUUAAGUUUAGUACCACUGAAUAUGU